UGUUCAUGAUUAGGACAGCUUCUUACCAACUCCUUGAAUCGUUCCUAAGCUUCAUAGAAAUGUUCCCCUAGUUGUUAUUCAAAAUUGAGAAGCUCACCUCUCAAUGU